UACGGGGGGGGUAAGCGUUGUUCGGAAUUACUGGGCGUAAAGGGCUCGUAGGCGGCCAACUAAGUCAGACGUGAAAUCCCUCAGCUUAACUGGGGAACUGCGUCUGAUACUGGAUGGCUUGAGAUUGGGAGAGGGAUGCGGAAUUCCAGGUGUAGCGGUGAAAUGCGUAGAUAUCUGGAGGAACACCGGUGGCGAAGGCGGCAUCCUGGACCAACACUGACACUGAGGAGCGAAAGCCAGGGGAGCAAACGGG
rnacentral:rRNA from 1 species